rnacentral:rRNA from 1 species
UACGUAGGGUGCGAGCGUUGUCCGGAAUUACUGGGCGUAAAGAGCUCGUAGGUGGUUUGUCGCGUUGUUCGUGAAAACUCACAGCUUAACUGUGGGCGUGCGGGCGAUACGGGCAGACUGGAGUACUGCAGGGGAGACUGGAAUUCCUGGUGUAGCGGUGGAAUGCGCAGAUAUCGGGAGGAACACCCGUGGCGAAGGCGGCUCUCUGGACCGUAACUGACGCUGAGGCGCGAAAGCGUGGGGAGCAAACAGG